rnacentral:rRNA from 1 species
GUAGCCGNCCUGAGAGGGNGACCGGCCACACUGGGACUGANACACGGCCCANACUCCUACGGGAGGCAGCAGUGGGGAAUAUUGCACAAUGGGCGAAAGCCUGAUGCAGCGACGCCGCGUGAGGGAUGACGGCCUUCGGGUUGUAAACCUCUUUCAGCAGGGACGAAGCGCAAGUGACGGUACCUGCAGAAGAAGCACCGGCUAACUACGUGCCAGCAGCCGCGGUAAUACGUAGGGUGCAAGCGUUGUCCGGAAUUACUGGGCGUAAAGAGYUCGUAGGCGGUUUGUCGCGUCGUUUGUGAAAACCAGCAGCUCAACUGCUGGCUUGCANGCGAUACGGGCAGACUUGAGUANUGCAGGGGAGAU